rnacentral:tRNA from 1 species
AAGGUUUUAAGUUAAACAAAACUUUUAACCUUCAAAGUUAACAAUAAAUUUUAUAUUUAAACCUUA